UACAGAGGGUGCGAGCGUUAAUCGGAAUUACUGGGCGUAAAGCGCGCGUAGGCGGUUAUGUAAGUUGGAUGUGAAAUCCCCGGGCUUAACCUGGGCACUGCAUUCAAAACUGCAUAGCUAGAGUAUGGGAGAGGAAGGUAGAAUUCCAGGUGUAGCGGUGAAAUGCGUAGAGAUCUGGAGGAAUACCGAUGGCGAAGGCAGCCUUCUGGCCUAAUACUGACGCUGAGGUGCGAAAGCAUGGGGAGCAAACAGG
rnacentral:ncRNA from 2 species